AAGGAAGUUGACAUGUCAUCACUUCAUUUUUUUGCGCCUGCGCAUAAAUCUGAGAAACGUGAGUUUUGUCUUCAUUGUUUAUCUCGACAUAGGAUAGGUUGUGUGAAAAUAUUACUGAUGUUUAACGUUAAAAAUGGACCAAAAGAUUAAUGCUAAACAACAUUUGACAUGUUUGAACGAACAUAAAUAGAUUAUUUACUAGGUUUUUUUAGCUUUUCGGCGUGAUUUUACAGUCCCCCACCACGUUUUGUGGGAGCAUAAUGAACGCUAAGUACUUGGUGUUAUUUGGACAUAAAUUAUGAACUUUGUCAAAAGAAACCACAUUUUUUCCGGACCUGGGAUGCCUUCCGGACCUGGGAUGCCUGUCUUCUGAUGGAGAUAAUCAAAGCACAAUAAGCCUUGGCAAACAUUAACCCAUUUCGACAAGUUCAUUGGUUUCUUCAGCACCUUCUCCAUCCAACAGUGAUCCCCCUGGCUAGUUGAAAGCUGGCAGACGGGCUGCAUUCCCUCUGAAACAGAGAGACGCAGGAUAUCCAAACAAGUUUCUUCAGUUCUGAUUGCCAUCACUCCAGCUCCCCUCAUCAUCCCUCCUUCAUCACACACAUCAACACCUCAACCCUUAACUCCUCACAUUUUCUCCCAACUCUUACACAAAUUGCAACCAUCGAUACCCAUCGAAGGUGCAAUCCAAUUUGUUCUCUCCUCUCUCAUCUCUCCAACCGUCUCCUCCCUCCCCUGUUUCCUCCAUCCCACCACCUCCUCCACUUCCGUCUCCCCUCUCCACUUGUUUUUCACUUUCUGAUGAUUCCUCCUCAUCUUUCACUGCAACAAUGACUAUUAUUCACAUUCUUUGGCUCCACAAAUGAUCGUUCCUGCACCCCUUUUUCAACUGACUCUUGCCUGUCAGCGCUUUAACCCUUGGCCCUCUGCUGGGUUUUCGGCAUUUAUUGUUCCCCCAUGUUUCACCAUUCAUAGUUGGUAUUGUGACCUGAAACUCUGACUAUGAAAAAGGAACUGCUUAUUCAGGUUUACAUAUUAACUUGACAACUGGCUGAUCUGCCACGGAUGAUUUAGGGAAAACUAGAUUUGUGAAACAGAUUUGAACUAGGUUGGAUUUGAAAGUUGUCUAAACAACUUGUUGACAACAUUUGUCCUUUAGAUCAAGUUUGUCAGGAUGACAUGAGAACCCUUACCAUGUGAGUACGGGACUCCUGUGGAUAUCUUAAAUGUUAUUAUUUUUCACAAACCAGAGCGAUGCAGGGGACUUUUCCCCAUGUCUAAUUACAGUGCAUUGUGGGAUUUUAUUUCAUCCUGAAGGAAAACAUAUGGCAUCAGAAGUGAUGUGUUACCAACUAAAUGGCCCAUGAACAUUGUGUCCUGACCACUUAGGACCACAUUCCUAAAAGAGAAAAAUCUUCACUCUCUCUAUUAAUGUUUUCUUUUCAAAACCUCCUGUGGGGACUUCUUCUAGGUUGGAGGAGAGAAGUAAUUGGCUUAGGAUGGUAAUGUCAACCUUCUCUCACUAAUUUAGUUGAUGAUGAGUCAAGUCAUGUCCUUAUUGGUUUCAGGGUUAUAUUCUAGCUGGACGUCAUGUUUUCGAUAAUCUAUAUCAUUUGGCAUCUUGUCAUUUGACUCCGUUUGGAAACAUAUUAAAAUGAACAUGUGGACAAAUGACUGUGAGGAGAUGAAUGUUACUGCAAUUCUCUCAUUUACUAACGGAGUUCAUCAACCGCUUGUCAGCAAGGGGUUUCAUUGACAUAUUCUCCAUGAUGGACAGCCAAUCAUAACACACUACUCCAGCUCAUUGUGACACGCUCUGACAUUAUCAAUACGAGAUGAGGUAAUGUUGAACAUUGCUAAUUCUCAGUUUGUAAUUGCUUAAAAGAAACACGGACGGUCGACACAUGAGAUACAUAGUAAUGAGAUAAUACUGCUAGAUGUUUAAAGGAAAGACGGAAGCCGUCUACACUAUGGUUGUCACGUCCUGACCAGUAAAAGCGGUCAUUUGUCAUUGUAGUAUGGUCAGGGCGUGGCAGGGGGUGUUGUUUUGGUGUGUUUUGAGGUUGGUUUGUUUCAUGGGGAUUUGUUCUAGUUUUCAUUUUCUAUGUGUGGCCAAGAAUGGUUUCCGAUCAGAGGCAGGUGUCUUUCGUUGUCUCUGAUUGGAAGCCAUACUUAGGCAGCCUGUUUUUUCCUUUGGGUUUGUGGGUGGUUGUUUUCUGUAUAGUCUGUGCACCUUACGGAACUGUUUUGUCGUAUUGUUUAUUUUUUUGGUUAAGUGUUAACGUUAAUAAAAGAAGAUGAGCACUUUACACGCUGCGCCUUGGUCCAAUCCUUCCGACAGAUGUGACAAUGGUGAGCCUUGUGUGCUUAAAAACCUCCAUCAUUAAUUAAUAUAACCAUAGUUUUGAGAAUUGAUGCAUUUACGCCUGCAAUGUUUGCUGACGGCUUUACUUAGUUCGACAUUGACACCCAUUAAAGCUCAAUUAAUGUGUAUUUAAUUAAUUUACAUGGUUGGGAAACUUUAGCAAUUAGCAUGACAUGGCAAUGAACACCGUAAUAUGCCUUGUCUCUCAUGACGUACACUUCUGAGAUUCCGCAGUACAUUAAUGCGUCUGAAUAUUAUUCUGAAAUUUAAGUUCAACUCCAAACCUCCUAAUCAAGAGCAGUGUUGCGUUCAGCUGAUUUAUUGUUUUGAAUUUGCAUAGCUUCUCACAUUGCACAGAGGGUUGUAUUGUAGGUGGUGGAGUAGAUGACAGUACUAUACAAUGGUGUAAA
rnacentral:lncRNA from 1 species